ACAGAGGAUCUGGAGGCCUUUUGGGGGCCACCCUGUGAGGUCCACCCCAAUGCAGAUGAUCUCAGAAACCGAGCCAGUUCAGUUCGGGCAAAAAGGGCAGCCUGGUUUGAACUCUCGACAAUAAUGACACACCUGGCAGGCCCCUCAUACCUCCUCAAACACUUGAAGAAACCCCGAGUCACAGUAAAGUAAGAAAGCCCCAGUUCGGCAGGUAGGCCUCCACAGGUGUGAUGGCCACCAUCACCCAUCCCCCUUCUGCCUGGGUCCCCAAGACCCCCAUGCCAGGUCUCAGAAGGUCCUUCCUGGAGCAUGUGUCCCAAGAGAAAUCUACCAGCUGCAGCAGGAAAGCUCCAGUGCUCUCUCCAGGCUUCUCAGAAAGAUACCAAGAAGACCAGACCUCAGCUGGUUCACGGUGCAAGCCCUCAGCAGCCACCAGGCCUCCUCUGCAGCUGUCGUAGCUCCCAGCACCUGCCUCCCGCUUGUGCUUAUGUUGGUUGCCGUGGAGACAUAAGGGCGGGCUUGAAUGGAGUCGAAAUCUCCGGGCUGGGCGAUGGAAUAGGGCCAGUACUGCAACAUGAUGGCUGAGUACAGCUCCACGUGAAGACUGGACUCGGUCCUUGGGCAGCUGGUUUGCGAGCUCCAGCUCUACUGCAAGGGUCUUUCAUUCACCCCUUGAGCCCAGCAGACUAGUCUUCUCAGGGUGAUGACAGGAACUCCAUGUGGGCAGGAUGUUUUUGCCUGCUCACUGCUGUAUCCCAGUUCCAGGUACCAGAGUUGGGACUUACUAAGUGUUUGUUGAAUGAAUAAGUGCUCAUAGCAAUCCUGUGAGACUACUAUACCCAUUUUACAGAUGAGGGAGUUGGGGCUCACAUCACAGUUACAGUGUGAGCGUCCCACAAUCACCCAGAGGCAGGAUUUAGACCCAAGGCUCCCACAGCAGGGACAACUGUGAAGAGCAAAUACACAGCAGCUAUGAAAAAGCUUGGCAAGAUAAGGGGUUUGGGGGCACUUGGUACCAAUUAUAAGAGCAAUGCAAGCAGUAGUUACGACGUGAACUGCGUUUCAGGAAGACGGGUCCCCAGCCUACUUUGUGACUCACACAAGUCAGAGGGGUUUCUGUUCCUUCUGGAUCUGUGUCAUUUUUGUAUGGUCGUGGGUCUGAGGAAGGAAGGCUUGGGUGUGGUGAGUGACAGUGUCGGUGCUUGGCCUGGAUCUCUGGAGAGAAAGUCCUUGUCUCUCACACCCACCCCUCUGUGAGCUGGAGAGGGGUCCACUGUUUCAUUCCGAGGCUUGGGGUGGGGUGAAGUGGGCAAGCUGGGACCCCUGGAGGGCACUUUAAUUUAAGAAGCCUCUCUGAUUAUAUUAUCCAGAGGAAAUAUGGGGAGCUAAAUCGGAGGAGAUGGCUGGGAAGUACAUUACAGAACAUUAAACAAUAGCUGACCAGCAUCAGACACAAAUAAAUGGCCCAUAAUCUACUGCCAAGAACGUGAUUGGUCCCAAGCAGUGGCCUGGCUGGCUUCCAGUCAGGGGAGUGCAGGGCUGGACACCACGUACUAUAGGCCACAAAACGCCUGCCCUGGUCACGUCCCAGCACCCACAGGAGAAGAUUGCAGCACCCAGACAGAACUCAUAAGCUUCCACAAGAUGUCACUCUCCAGGACUGGAGGUGGGUCUUCUCUCCAUCUUGUCCUGAGCCCUGGACCCAAACAUCAUCGGGAGAGUUCCUGCCUGCCUGAGAAAUCCCAUGUUGGAGAAGGGAAGCCACGUGUGUCUGUGGGCAUAGGGUCGUUUGGCUCACACCCCUGAAGACAGUGUCUGUGAAAUGGGGUUCCCCUGGCUCCAGGAAGCCUCAUUCCCCAAAAUGAGCAGGUGGAAGCUCAUCUCACUAGAGCCUCCUUUAGCUUAGAUCUUUAACUCCUGUUACAACACAAGUACCUCCAAAGAAAGAUAAACCAGUACCCUGGCAAGUCAUGCACCCUUUAGUAUGAAGUCCUUGUCGCAAUCGUUUGCUGAGAGCUUCAGGCACUGAUGUCCUGAGGAGAAGGCAGGAGAGUGCAGAGGAUAAAGACCUGAAGCUGGGUUUUUGGAGGCUGGGGUACAGGACCUUAAAAGCUACUAUCACUGUUUAUCCAUGGCCAUAGCAGAUUUGGUCUACGUUGGUAAGAGCCCUGGACUUAGAGUCAGCGGGCAGGGUUCCAGUCUCCAGCUCUCCCCACACGAGCUGUGCCAUCUUGGGCAAGUCACUUAACCUCUCUGAGCCUUCAUUUCUCCAUCUGAAGAUCGGGAGUGAGGCCACCCCCAUCCUGGGUGCUGUGAGAGACUGAAGUGUGCAGAAGGCCUUUCAUUCUAUAAAUAUCACUGUCCUUGGGUCUGUGCCACCACAUUCUACAUCCGUGGAUGGACCCUGGGGCUGAGUCAGUGCACAGACCGCAGCGAGUCCAGCCAGGCCCGCCAAACCCAGGCCAGAUCAGCUGACCCUUAGCUGAUCCACAGACACAUGAACUUCAACAAUAAACAACUGUUGCUCAGCCACUGAGUGUUAGGGUGGUAUAUCGCCCGGCAGGGGUUAAAAGACGCCAAAGUUAGGGCUCCUGACACUUUAACUCUUAGGGCCAUGUUCAAUAGAAAUUAAUACAUAUGACACAUCUCUGCCUUCUUAGGCAAAAUGAAGUGAGUACAAGUCUGUCUUCACUGGGUCAUUUCCGCUCUCACAGUGCAAACCAGUCAACGAGCGUAAGUCAGUGGCGCCUUCAGGGGAUACAUACAGAAGGGAGGCUCUAGAAAUAGUUCCAAUCGGCUAUCCUUUCCCCUCUCAGAACUAUUCCCUGGUUCUUUGCCAUUUUUCUUGUCAUCAGUUUUAUCAGCUGCCUUUGUUGUUCUUGUUGUCACUGUGUCUGUCUUAAGCAGCAGUCCCCUCCCCAAUCUGCUGUGCUGCGGCUACGUCACCGCCCUCAAGAAGCCGGCUCACUGAGCCUGCGAGGACGAUGUCCCACGUAAGAGUUCACAGGCUUGGAGUGAGGGCCUGAGCUAGUUUUCUCUGUAUCCAGGGCAGGUGCUUUAGUGCUGGGAUUGCUAUCAUCAAUUUUGGUCUCUAUGAUGCUUUUGGCUCCCUCCUCCACUCGGGGACCCGAUAGUGGAGGCUGCCAGGCAAUGAACAUCUGACCCAGAGAGCUGUGCUGUGUCUAGCGUUGCUGGAAUCCAGUCUCUUCUGAAGAGAGUGAAGGAAAGAAGCAGCCCACAGGCCUGUAAGAGCGCUUCCUCCGUCCCAGCCCGUCUCUGGGGCCUG